AGCAUUUAUACAGUGAAACUGCGAAUGGCUCAUUAAAUCAGUUAUCGUUUAUUUGAUAGUACCUUUACUACUUGGAUAACCGUGGUAAUUCUAGAGCUAAUACAUGCUAAAAAUCCCGACUGUUUGGAAGGGAUGUAUUUAUUAGAUAAAAAAUCAAUGCUCUUUGAGCUCUUUGAUGAUUCAUAAUAACUUUUCGAAUCGCAUGGCCUUGUGCUGGCGAUGGUUCAUUCAAAUUUCUGCCCUAUCAACUUUCGAUGGUAGGAUAGUGGCCUACCAUGGUUUCAACGGGUAACGGGGAAUAAGGGUUCGAUUCCGGAGAGGGAGCCUGAGAAACGGCUACCACAUCCAAGGAAGGCAGCAGGCGCGCAAAUUACCCAAUCCCGACACGGGGAGGUAGUGACAAUACAUAACGAUACAGGGCCCUUUCGGGUCUUGUAAUUGGAAUGAGUACAAUGUAAAUACCUUAACGAGGAACAAUUGGAGGGCAAGUCUGGUGCCAGCAGCCGCGGUAAUUCCAGCUCCAAUAGCGUAUAUUAAAGUUGUUGCAGUUAAAAAGCUCGUAGUUGAACUUUGGGCUUGGUUGGCCGGUCCGCCUUUUUGGCGAGUACUGGACCCAACCGAGCCUUUCCUUCUGGCUAACCAUUCGCCCUUGUGGUGUUUGGCGAACCAGGACUUUUACUUUGAAAAAAUUAGAGUGUUCAAAGCAGGCCUUUGCUCGAAUAUAUUAGCAUGGAAUAAUAGAAUAGGACGUUAUGGUUCUAUUUUGUUGGUUUCUAGGACCAUCGUAAUGAUUAAUAGGGACGGUCGGGGGCAUCAGUAUUCAGUUGUCAGAGGUGAAAUUCUUAGAUUUACUGAAGACUAACUACUGCGAAAGCAUUUGCCAAGGACGUUUUCAUUAAUCAAGAACGAAAGUUAGGGGAUCGAAGAUGAUCAGAUACCGUCGUAGUCUUAACCCAUAAACUAUGCCGACUAGGGGAUCGGGUGUUGUUCUUUUUUUGACGCA
rnacentral:rRNA from 1 species